UACGUAGGUGGCAAGCGCUGUCCGGAUUUACUGGGCGUAAAGAGCGCGCAGGCGGUCGUUCAAGUCGCGUGUGAAAGCCCCCGGCUCAACUGGGGAGGGUCACGCGAUACUGAUCGACUGGAAGGCAGGAGAGGGUAGUGGAAUUCCCGGUGUAGUGGUGAAAUGCGUAGAUAUCGGGAGGAACACCAGUGGCGAAGGCGACUACCUGGCCUGUUCUUGACGCUGAGGCGCGAAAGCUAGGGGAGCAAACGGG
rnacentral:rRNA from 1 species